rnacentral:rRNA from 1 species
GACAGAGGCCUCAAGCGUUAGGCGGAAUCACUGGGCUUAAAGCGUGUGUAGGCGGAUGCCUAAGUACCUUGUGAAAUCCCACGGCUCAACCGUGGAACUGCUGGGUAUACUGGGCGUCUUGGGCCAUUCAGGGGGCGACUGGAACAAGCGGUGGAGCGGUGAAAAUGCGUAGAUAUCGCUUGGAACGCCGAAGGUGAAAACAGGUCGCUGGGGAUGUGCCGACGUGAGACACGAAAGCCAGGGGAGCAAACGGG